rnacentral:rRNA from 1 species
GAUGAACGCUGGCGGCGUGCCUAAUACAUGCAAGUCGAGCGAACGGACGAGAAGCUUGCUUCUCUGAUGUUAGCGGCGGACGGGUGAGUAACACGUGGAUAACCUACCUAUAAGACUGGGAUAACUUCGGGAAACCGUAGCUAAUACCGGAUAAUAUUUUGAACCGCAUGGUUCAAAAGUGAAAGACGGUCUUGCUGUCACUUAUAGAUGGAUCCGCGCUGCAUUAGCUAGUUGGUAAGGUAACGGCUUACCAAGGCAACGAUGCAUAGCCGACCUGAGAGGGUGAUCGGCCACACUGGAACUGAGACACGGUCCAGACUCCUACGGGAGGCAGCAGUAGGGAAUCUUCCGCAAUAGGCGAAAGCCUGACGGAGCAACGCCGCGUGAGUGAUGAAGGUCUUCGGAUCGUAAAACUCUGUUAUUAGGGAAGAACAUAUGUGUAAGUAACUGUGCGCAUCUUGACGGUACCUAAUCAGAAAGCCACGGCUAACUACGUG